UACGGAGGAUGCGAGCGUUAUCCGGAUUUAUUGGGUUUAAAGGGUGCGCAGGCGGAUUUUUAAGUCAGCGGUCAAAUCGUGGGGCUCAACCCCAUCCAGCCGUUUGAACUGGCGCGCUUGAGUUCAGGCGAGGUAGGCGGAAUUCGUGGUGUAGCGGUGAAAUGCAUAGAUAUCACGAAGAACUCCGAUUGCGAAGGCAGCUUACCAGUCUGCGACUGACGCUGAAGCACGAGAGCGUGGGUAGCGAACAGG
rnacentral:rRNA from 1 species